AUCUUGUCGGAGGAGUAUUUUCGUCUCAGCUGUUAUUCUGAUGUCAGUUGAGAGAGUGAAGCAUUUAUAGUCUCCAAGGCUCUUUCCUGUGACUGCGUGCUAUAGGUGACAAGGUUUCCUGUAGGAAACCUGCUAAAGGUUCAUCACUGUGCUUUCCACUGGAAGCAAGUUACCCCUUAUUUUCAACUGAAAAGUCAGAUGAAUGAUUCAAAAUGUUUUGUCUGAAUGAAGAUGACCAGUCUCCUUAUCUG